AGUGGCAGACGGGUGAGUAAUGCAUAGGAAUCUACCUAGUAGUAUGGGAUAGCCACUAGAAAUGGUGGGUAAUACUGUAUAAUCCCUGCGGGGGAAAGAUUUAUCGCUAUUAGAUGAGCCUAUGUUAGAUUAGCUAGUUGGUAGGGUAAAGGCCUACCAAGGCAGUGAUCUAUAGCUGGUCUGAGAGGAUGAUCAGCCACACUGGAACUGAGAUACGGUCCAGACUCCUACGGGAGGCAGCAGUGGGGAAUAUUGGACAAUGGGCGCAAGCCUGAUCCAGCUAUGCCGCGUGAGUGAGGAAGGCCUUAGGGUUGUAAAACUCUUUCAGUGGGGAAGAUAAUGACGGUACCCACAGAAGAAGUCCCGGCAAACUCCGUGCCAGCAGCCGCGGUAAUACGGAGGGGGCAAGCGUUGUUCGGAAUUAUUGGGCGUAAAGGGCAUGUUUGCGGUUCGGUAAG
rnacentral:rRNA from 1 species